rnacentral:rRNA from 1 species
UACGGAGGGAGCUAGCGUUGUUCGGAAUUACUGGGCGUAAAGCGCACGUAGGCGGCUUUGUAAGUUAGAGGUGAAAGCCCGGGGCUCAACUCCGGAACUGCCUUUAAGACUGCAUCGCUUGAAUCCAGGAGAGGUGAGUGGAAUUCCGAGUGUAGAGGUGAAAUUCGUAGAUAUUCGGAAGAACACCAGUGGCGAAGGCGGCUCACUGGCCCGGUACUGACGCUGAGGUGCGAAAGCGUGGGGAGCAAACAGG